GUAUGCAAUCUACCUUUUUACAAGGAGAAUAGCCCAGAGAAAAUUUGGAAUAAUGCUCCAUAAUAUCAUUUAUCAGCAUUGGUUUAUGAUUAAAGCUCCGGCGGUAAAAGAUGAGCAUGCGUUCUAUUAGCUAGUAGGUGAGGUAACGGCUCACCUAGGCUACGAUAGAUAGGGGCCCUGAGAGGGGGACCCCCCACACUGGUACUGAGACACGGACCAGACUCCUACGGGAGGCAGCAGUGAGGAAUAUUGGACAAUGGAGGAAACUCUGAUCCAGCCAUGCCGCGUGCAGGAUGACUGCCCUAUGGGUUGUAAACUGCUUUUAUAUAGGAAGAAACACUCCCACGUGUGGGGGCUUGACGGUACUAUAUGAAUAAGGAUCGGCUAACUCCGUGCCAGCAGCCGCGGUAAUACGGAGGAUCCAAGCGUUAUCCGGAAUCAUUGGGUUUAAAGGGUCCGCAGGCGGCCCGUUAAGUCAGAGGUGAAAUCCUACAGCUCAACUGUAGAACUGCCUUUGAUACUGAUAGGCUUGAGUUAUUGUGAAGUGGUUAGAAUGUGUGGUGUAGCGGUGAAAUGCUUAGAUAUCACACAGAAUACCCAUUGCGAAGGCAGAUCACUAACAAUAUACUGACGCUCAUGGACGAAAGCGUGGGGAGCGAACGGGAUUAGAUACCCCGGUAGUCCACGCCGUAAACGAUGGAUACUAACUGUUCGACCUUCGGGUUGAGUGGUCAAGCGAAAGUGAUAAGUUCCCACCUGGGA
rnacentral:rRNA from 1 species